rnacentral:rRNA from 1 species
AGUGAACGCUGGCGGUAGGCCUAACACAUGCAAGUCGAACGGCAGCACAGUAAGAGCUUGCUCUUACGGGUGGCGAGUGGCGGACGGGUGAGGAAUACAUCGGAAUCUACUUUUUCGUGGGGGAUAACGUAGGGAAACUUACGCUAAUACCGCAUACGACCUACGGGUGAAAGCACGGGAUCUUCGGACCUUGCGCGAUUGAAUUAGCCGAUGUCGGAUUAGCUAGUUGGCGGGGUAAGGGCCCACCAAGGCGACGAUCCGUAGCUGGUCUGAGAGGAUGAUCAGCCACACUGGAACUGAGACACGGUCCAGACUCCUACGGGAGGCAGCAGUGGGGAAUAUUGGACAAUGGGCGCAAGCCUGAGCCAGCCAUACCGCGUGGGUGAAGAAGGCCUUCGGGUUGUAAAGCCCUUUUGUUGGGAAAGAAAAGCAGCAGGUUAAUACCCCGCUGUUCUGACGGUACCCAAAGAAUAAGCACCGGCUAACUUCGUG